rfam:Triticum aestivum genome assembly, contig: Triticum_aestivum_CS42_TGACv1_scaffold_250902_3DL
GAAAUACUCCCUUCGUUCGGAAUUACUUGUCGCCGAAAUGGAUGUAUCUAGACGUAUUUUAAUUUUAGAUACAUCCAUUUCCGAGACAAGUAAUUCCGAACGAAGAGAGUAGCAG